rnacentral:rRNA from 1 species
GUGGGGAAUAUUGGACAAUGGGCGAAAGCCUGAUCCAGCCAUGCCGCGUGUGUGAAGAAGGUCUUCGGAUUGUAAAGCACUUUAAGUUGGGAGGAAGGGCAGUAAGUUAAUACCUUGCUGUUUUGACGUUACCGACAGAAUAAGCACCGGCUAACUUCGUGCCAGCAGCCGCGGUAAUACGAAGGGUGCAAGCGUUAAUCGGAAUUACUGGGCGUAAAGGGCGCGUAGGUGGUUUUGUAAGUUGGAGGUGAAAUCCCCGGGCUCAACCUGGGAACUGCCACCAAAACUGCAUGACUAGAGUACGGUAGAGGGUAGUGGAAUUUCCUGUGUAGCGGUGAAAUGCGUAGAUAUAGGAAGGAACACCAGUGGCGAAGGCGACUACCUGGACUGAUACUGACACUGAGGUGCGAAAGCGUGGGGAGCAAACAGGAUUAGAAACCCUGGUAGUCC